rnacentral:rRNA from 1 species
GAUGAACGCUGGCGGCGUGCCUAAUACAUGCAAGUCGAGCGAACAGACGAGGAGCUUGCUCCUCCGACGUUAGCGGCGGACGGGUGAGUAACACGUGGAUAACCUACCUAUAAGACUGGGAUAACUUCGGGAAACCGGAGCUAAUACCGGAUAAUAUAUUGAACCGCAUGGUUCAAUAGUGAAAGACGGUUUUGCUGUCACUUAUAGAUGGAUCCGCGCCGCAUUAGCUAGUUGGUAAGGUAACGGCUUACCAAGGCAACGAUGCGUAGCCGACCUGAGAGGGUGAUCGGCCACACUGGAGCUGAGACACGGUCCAGACUCCUACGGGAGGCAGCAGUAGGGAAUCUUCCGCAAUGGGCGAAAGCCUGACGGAGCAACGCCGCGUGAGUGAUGAAGGUCUUCGGAUCGUAAAACUCUGUUAUUAGGGAAGAACAAAUGUGUAAGUAACUAUGCACGUCUUGACGGUACCUAAUCAGAAAGCCACGGCUAACUACGUG